GGGUGGGAUGAGUAUUCUAAGGCGCGUGGAAGAACUCUCUUUAAGGAACUCUGCAAAAUAGCACCGUAUCUUCGGUAUAAGGUGUGGUUAGCUUUGUAUUAGGAUUUACUCCGAAAGCAAGGAAACUUACAACAAAGAGUCCCUCCCGACUGUUUACCAAAAACACAGCACUCUGCUAACUCGUAAGAGGAUGUAUAGGGUGUGACGCCUGCCCGGUGCUCGAAGGUUAAUUGAUGGGGUUAGCAUUAGAGAAGCUCUUGAUCGAAGCCCGAGUAUACGGCGGCCGUCACUAUAACGGUCCUAAGGUAGCGAAAUUCCUUGUCGGUUAAAUACCGCCCUGCAUGAAUGGCGUAACGAGAUGGGAGCUGUCUCAAAGAGGGAUCCAGUGAAAUUGUAGUGGAGGUGAAAAUGCCUCCUACCCGCGGCAAGACGGCAAGACCCCGUGGACCUUUACUACAGCUUGACACUGCUACUUGGAUAAGAAUGUGCAGGAUAGGUGGGAGGCUUUGAGUAUAUGACGCCAGUUGUAUAUGAGCCAUUGUUGAGAUACCACUCUUUCUUAUUUGGGUAGCUAACCAGCUUGAGUUAUCCUCAAGUGGGACAAUGUCUGGUGGGUAGUUUGACUGGGGCGGUCGCCUCCCAAAUAAUAACGGAGGCUUACAAAGGUUGGCUCAGAACGGUUGGAAAUCGUUCGUAGAGUAUAAAGGUAUAAGCCAGCUUAACUGCAAGACAUACAAGUCAAGCAGAGACGAAAGUCGGUCUUAGUGAUCCGGUGGUGCUGUGUGGAAGGGCCAUCGCUCAAAGGAUAAAAGGUACCCCGGGGAUAACAGGCUGAUCUCCCCCAAGAGCUCACAUCGACGGGGAGGUUUGGCACCUCGAUGUCGGCUCAUCGCAUCCUGGGGCUG
rnacentral:rRNA from 1 species